GAAGAAGCACCGGCUAACUCCGUGCCAGCAGCCGCGGUAAUACGGAGGGUGCAAGCGUUAAUCGGAAUUACUGGGCGUAAAGCGCACGCAGGCGGUCUGUCAAGUCGGAUGUGAAAUCCCCGGGCUCAACCUGGGAACUGCAUUCGAAACUGGCAGGCUUGAGUCUUGUAGAGGGGGGUAGAAUUCCAGGUGUAGCGGUGAAAUGCGUAGAGAUCUGGAGGAAUACCGGUGGCGAAGGCGGCCCCCUGGACAAAGACUGACGCUCAGGUGCGAAAGCGUGGGGAGCAAACAGG
rnacentral:rRNA from 4 species